UAACUAUCAUGUGGGCAAGCACUUAAGAGGUCCUUAAACCUCUCCCAGCAUUGAAAGAAGAUUUCUUCCUCUUUCUGCAAGAAAUUCAUAAUGGCCCUUCUAAGGGA